GCCCUCGUAGCUCAGCAGGAUAGAGCGGCGGUUUCCUAAACCGCAGGCCCCGCGUUCGAGUCGCGGCGAGGGCA
rnacentral:tRNA from 1 species